ensembl:lncRNA
CUAAUGUGACCCCUGAAGGAGAAAGGGCCGAGAAAGACGGCUCCGGAGAGAUGUUCAGCGAAAGCUCCCCAAGUGGGUCAGAUAUUAUAGGGUCGGUGUCGGAAAGCACCAUGGAGACUGUGUCAGAAGGUACGGGAGAGGAGGGGGAGAUUCUGAAGGAACACCUCCCCCUACGUAAAAGAAACGCUGAAGAGCUCUCUGACCCCGAACAGGGAAAUGGGGGGAUAAGUGGCAGCACGGGCCCUCCAUUUGGAGUGGCUCCAAUUUUAACAAGAACGACGGUGUUGCCAUUUUAAUCAAGACCCCACAGGUGGUGGUGAAGGGGAGCACGGUGGUGGAUCGGGAACCAGUAUGUCCAGUGCGCGGGCUCGCUAUAGGUGAGCCCACAACGGUUUGGCGCAACGUGGCCCACCCUGCUCUCCUGAAUCGGCAUCGGGACCUGUCCUGGAUGGUCGCCCACGAGAUCCUCCCGGUCAGGGCCGUUAUGCACUCACGGGGCAUGGCGAGGACAUCCGCGUGCCCCCGACCAGGCUGCGGCCAAGAAGAGUCGGUGAGGCACAUGCUCUGGGAGUGCAGAGCCGCCAGGGACCUGUGGAAGGAAGCAGGCCCCCUGAUCACCUCGUGUCUGCCAGCAGGGGAGGACCUAACACCUCAGCUCGUGCUGUAUGGGGUGGGCCGAAGGCCCAUUUCAUCGAAGACCUUCACCAAGCUCUGGCCCACCCUCACGUGCCUGAAGGAAGCACUGUGGUCCUCCCG